rnacentral:lncRNA from 1 species
UUCUCAGGUUCUUGCAUUCAAGGCUCCAAAUUUUAUUUUGGGAGAAGUUUGGGGGUGGUUCGUGUAUCGGGGACUCGUUUAUUUGAAUAAACAAUGCUGGUUGCACAUUUCCAAAUUCAAAUUGUGAAGUCAAUGGUGGAUCUUGUGAUCUGGGAAUACAGUUGGCUUUCUCAAGCAUGGAUAGGAAUGACGUGUUUAACUCAUGGUACGAGGUGGGAAAUCUUCAACAGUACUCCCUCUAUGCCUUGUCUUCGGACCUUCACGAUUCUCUCGCGGCACCAUUUACAAAACUUUUCUGGAACUUGUAUGAUGUUAAUGUAGAAUAGAUGGUUGAAUGGAUUGAGGAACAGUUGGAUCGAAAAGGGAAAAACAGUAAAUUACAGAUUUGGUGUUUGAGCUUCGAUUUGAGCACAUAAUACCUUUUCAGACUGGGAACAACUAGCCGGAUUGCUUUUAGGCAUCAGAGUUCUUUCAAGGCUCAAAAAUUGCUUUUUA